AAAUACAUGAUGUCACAUUUUAAUUAAAAGGGGGAAAGGCACAAAAAAAUUGAAAAGUACAGGGAAAGAAUUGUACAAAAGAAUGUUGCGGUACAAAUGAAAUGGAGGUACAUCAAAAUACAGCAAAAGAAAAUCACAAAAAUGCAAUAAACAAAAACCCUCCACCCCCUGCUUGCCAACUGGCCUCUCGUGUUCACUUGCGCACAAAAAGCAUCAGAUUAAAAAAAUCAAAAAUACAAUCACGUGAGCAUAGAACAAAGUUGUUGAGGAGGAAAUAUUCCCCAACAGUAUGUUAAAGGGAAAUCCGUUGGAGGGAGCCUCGCUAGAGAAAAUGGGCGCCAAGGUAUCACCCGAACUCCCUAUAAAUAGGGAGUUACUGCACAGAGCAAAGGGGGGGAGGUCUCCAAAUUCACCGUUCACGCUCGCCAUCACAGAGCAACCUCACUCAGCUCUCUUCUCUCACUCUCACACUCUGCAAGCCUGAGCAUCCCGGCAGCUCCAGCUCCAUCUCCAUCAUCCAUCUUUGUCCACUCUCCGGCAAUCUCACAGCCUAACUUCACGACCACCCAACUGUUUGAAAAAGCAUGGCACCGCCCAUCCUAUUUCCGGCCACCUCACAACCCAAUCCUCUCUCACUGGCGUAACCCCCAACUUAACAUCUCCAUCCGCUCAACCAUCACCGUUGCCGGAGCUUAGGGCCGAGCCCUGCCUAAGCUCCUCGUUUGGCUCAUCCUCUUCGUCUCCGUCACUUACGUUGUCCAUACACUCAAGCUUGUUGCCACCAUCUCCGGCACAUUCACGGCCACUCGAUCCGUCUCCGUCACGGCCAACCCAGCACAGUCCCACUGCUUCACGGCCACAAGCAGGCAACUACUUCGACGUAGGGUACAGGCGCUUCGUCGGAGAGUUCGAAUAGGCUACCAGCAAGCACCCCUGGCUUCGGCUUUCAGUCCUUACAGCAAGACUCUCGAAUCAAAGAUCUUAUCUAGUAUAGGUACAAUGUGUCAGAUACACAGAGGUACCAAAUCAGAAGCAAAGAUCGGGACAUUGACUCAGAAGCACCAAAGCACAUUUCGGAGUUUUUAUUGUGUAUAAAUUAAUUGUAAUAAGGGUUGUGUGAGUGAGUGCGUAUUAUAACUCUUACAGUGUGUAUCUUGCAUGAUUUCUGAGUAAGAGUUGAGCCAUUGCAUAAGCAUACUAGGACACAUGAGUUUAUAGGAUUGCACUAAAGACAUAAAUACAAACUCACCUUUCAUGGCUUUCUAAGUUAAAAUAAGAGUUUGUCAAAUGAAUACUAAAACUCAAAUAUGUUUUCAAAGAGACAAGUUUUUAACAUCCUAGUUUUAAAAACAUUUUUAUACUUAGUGCCGAUUGGGUUAAAACAAGUUUAAUGUCCUAAAGGUUCAAAGAAAGUCAAGUAUAUUUACAAAAGGACAUACUAAGCAUAUAAUAUAUCAAAAUGGGUUUUCAAACGUGUUUUAUUAAUUAAAAUAUCUUAUAUUCAAAAGUAAACUCAUUUGGACAAGUUUUAAUCUUCAUUAGACUUAAUAUAUUUCAUAUAAUUUUGUCCAAGAAUGUUUUGAGUCAUUAAAACACUUUUUGACAAGGAAAAACAAAGUAAUCAUCUGAGUCCUGAACACCUUGCGGUAUUUUGGGCAUAACUUUUUCUAGAAAAGUCCAAAUGGGACGAUCUUGGUGUCCCUGGAAAGCUAAGACAAAAUGCUACAACUUUCAUUUUGGUGACUUUUUCUGAUUCAGGGACCUCGUCGACAAAAUUCAGAUUUCGUCGACGAAUUCAACGGGCAGAAGCACUCCAACAGGCGCAAAACGGCUAGUUUGCCAAAUAAAAUAUUUUUUCUUCCUCCCAACGGCUAGUUAAUGGCUCCUAAGGUUCUUGGGCUAUAAAUACAAGCUUUUAGACUUGUAUUAACAUGGUUUUGAGCAUUGUUGAUUAUAUUUGUGAAACAUAUCAUUUUAUCCAAAACCUAAGUACUUUGCACUUUGCAUUUUAGUUAUUCUUCACAAGUGCUCAAUCCUCUCUUGCUCACUUAUCUUGUAAGAUUCAUUCCUUGAGAGAAUAGAGUGAGGAUUUGGUUGUGUUUCAUAUUGGCUCAUUUAAGGAGCAUUAAAUUGUAUUUCCAAUCUCUUGUAAGGUUCUUUGUGAACCGAAGCGAAGGCUCUUGGUGAGCGCGGUAGGUGUUUGUUCCCAAGUGUAGGGAUAUGUUCUCGAGUUGUAAGGCUUCUCCACCAGUGAAGGAAUAUCUUUAGUGGAUUGUAGAAUCCUUGGCUUGGUGCUAAGGCGUG